CGCUCUUUGUAGAAAGAUGAUCUGAUACAUAAAGAGUACUGCCUGCCCAGUGACAUUAGUUAAACGGCCGCGGUAUCUUGACCGUGCAAAGGUAGCAUAAUCAUUUGCCUUUUAAAUGGAGGCUGGUAUGAAUGGCAAGACGGAAGUCUAACUGUCUCCUCUUUAAUGUCUUGAAAUUAAUUUCCCCGUGAAGAAGCGGGGAUGAAGUCGUAGGACGAGAAGACCCUAUCGAGCUUUAGUAUGAGUUGGGCUUAGGUAUUUAUGAUAAUUUUUUGCUAAUUUGGAUCUUAAAGAUUUAGUGUUUUUACUUAAAGGAUGAGAAAAUAUUUUAUGCUUAUUGCUUUGAUUGGGGCAAUCAUGGAGAAAAAAAUCCUCCAUUAUAAUUGAAUGUCAGAAAGUUACUUCUUUGGAAUGUAGGUGUUAGUACAUGUUAUAGUGAUCCACUUUAAUAUAGUGAGCAAAGGAAAAAGUUACCGUAGGGAUAACAGCGUAAUUUUUUUGGAGAGUUCAUAUUGAUAAAAAAGUUUGCGACCUCGAUGUUGGAUCGGGACUUCCAGGAGAUGCAGCAGUUUCCAAGGGUUGGUCUGUUCGACCAUUAAAGUCCU
rnacentral:rRNA from 1 species